rnacentral:rRNA from 1 species
UACGUAGGGUGCGAGCGUUAAUCGGAAUUACUGGGCGUAAAGCGUGCGCAGGCGGUUUUGUAAGCCAGAUGUGAAAUCCCCGGGCUCAACCUGGGAAUGGCAUUUGGGACUGCAAGGCUGGAGUGCGGCAGAGGAGACUGGAAUUCCUGGUGUAAGCGGUGAAAUGCGCAGAUAAGUCAGGAGGAACACCGGUGGCGAAGGCGGCCAACUGGACCAUUACUGACGCUGAGGCGCGAAAGCGUGGGGAGCAAACAGG